rnacentral:rRNA from 1 species
CUUCCGGUGAUAAACCGGAGGAAGAAGGGGACGACGUCAAGUCAUCAUGGCCCUUACGAGUAGGGCUACACACGUUCUACAAUAGCGCAUACAGAGGGCGGCCAACUUGAGAAAGCGAGCGAAUCCCCAAAAGUACGUCGUAGUCCGGAUUGGAGUCUGCAACUCGACUCCAUGAAGUCGGAAUCGCUAGUAAUCGUGGUUCAGAAUGCCACGGUGAAUACGUUCCCGGGCCUUGUACACACCGCCCGUCACACCAUAGGAGUGGGCUUCAAAAGAAGUGGGUAGUUUAACCUUCGGGAGG